UCCACGGCCCUUUUCAGGGCCACCACACUUUGAUAUGCAUGUUCUUU
rfam:Opisthorchis viverrini scaffold32229.1, whole genome shotgun sequence.